rnacentral:rRNA from 1 species
AUCGAUAAUCCACGUUANUUUUCACUUUAAUUUUAAAACUUAUAUACCGCCAUCUUAAGAAUCAAUUUAAAAAUUUCUCUCUCAAUAAUUAAUAAAAAGUUAGGUCAAGGUGUAAUCUAUAUUAAAGGAUCAAAUGAAUUACAUUAAAUAAAAUUUAAAGCUUACUUAUAUAUAUACAAAUACAAAUAAGAAUUUAAAAGUAAUAUAAUAAAUAAUAAUUAUAUAUGAUAAAGAUAAUAAAUGUGCACACAUCGCCC